AUUUGCAGAGAUCAUUGCGGUCUGAAUCAACUGUGUUUGGGCAUCCACAAACAGAUUAUGUUAUGAAUAUGGAUAUGAUUCUGGGGAAACAAGUUUCUGGUUAUGUUCAUGGAAUCAGCUCUGACUUACACAGAUCAUCACGACCUAAAUCAACUGAGUUUAGUUAUCCACCAACAGGACAUGUUAGAAAUAUGGAUAUGAUUGGGGGGGAGAUUUUUUUCUGAAUAUGUUCAUGGAAUUAGUUCUGACUUGCAGAGACGCUCAUGGCCUGAAUCCAGUAAUGUUGUGCAUCUUGGAACUGAUACCCUUAGGCCCUACUAUGCCGGUUGGUCCUAGAGUUGGAAAUGAAGCCUCUCAAUUUGUGGUUCUGGUUGCUAAACCUUUGUUUUGUGGCUUUGUUGGUUAUCUUUUAGGUUCUUUUGUUGGCCUGCAGCUACUAGCUGCACUGUGAAGCUGUGCAAUUUGAUGUUAACUUGGA